rnacentral:rRNA from 1 species
AACGAACGCUGGCGGCAUGCCUAACACAUGCAAGUCGAACGAGACCUUCGGGUCUAGUGGCGCACGGGUGCGUAACGCGUGGGAACCUGCCCUUAGGUUCGGCAUAACUCCCCGAAAGGGGUGCUAAUACCGGAUAAUGUCUUCGGUCCAAAGAUUUAUCGCCUUUGGAUGGGCCCGCGUUGGAUUAGCUAGUUGGUAGGGUAAAAGCCUACCAAGGCGACGAUCCAUAGCUGGUCUGAGAGGAUGAUCAGCGACACUGGGACUGAGACACGGCCCAGACUCCUACGGGAGGCAGCAGUGGGGAAUAUUGGACAAUGGGCGAAAGCAUGAUCCAGCAAUGCCGCGUGAGUGAUGAAGGCCUUAGGGUUGUAAAGCUAUUUUACCCGGGAUGAUAAUGACAGUACCGGGAGAAUAAGCUCCGGCUAACUCCGUG